UCCGUAGGCGGUGCGGCAAGUCGGAAGUGAAAUCUCAGGGCUUAACCCUGAGGCUGCUUCCGAAACCGCCGUGCUGGAGUGCGAGAGAGGCGAGUGGAAUUGCAGGUGUAGCGGUGAAAUGCGUAGAUAUCUGCAGGAACAUCCGAGGCGAAAGCGGCUCGCUGGAUCGCAACUGACGCUGAGGGACGAAAGCUAGGGGAGCAAACAGGAUUAGAUACCCUGGUAGUCCUAGCCCUAAACGAUCAGGACUGGGCGUGGGCCUCGUACGGGGCUCGUGCCGCAGCUAACGCGUUAAGUCCUGCGCCUGGGGAGUACGGUCGCAAGGCUGAA
rnacentral:rRNA from 1 species